rnacentral:lncRNA from 1 species
GAAGAAGUGGGAACUGUGUCGUUUCUUUUUACCCCCUGACAGUGGGGCUUCUCCUCCUGCUGUCAGGGCACGCCAACAGCCCAUUGCUUUGGUGGUAUGGGCUGAGGAAAGGAAGCUUGACUUGUAACUAUUGCGGUUCUGCAGAAGGCCCUGGCAUGUAGGGCAGUGAGCCAGUGGCUGCAGUCUGCCUCCUGGUGCUCCCUCCUAAAGCCAAAGGCUCUUGGAAGAAAAGACUUAGUUUUGCAGCCAAACUAGAGGUGGAGGUCUUUCUGCGGUAGUCAUGGUAAUCUACUCAGUAUAGAUUUUAUAGUUAAGCAGAGGCUGCCGUAAGGAAAACUGGGGCCAGAG